rnacentral:lncRNA from 1 species
ACCAGAGAUGUCUCCAAGAGCACCAGCAACCCCAGCUAUCUGGAUCUGAAGUGGAUCUGCUCAGAGACAUCCUGGCCCACCCCAAAGAAGAUGCUGCUGCACUCAGAAGACGCCAGAGCUAGCCACCACCCACACUGCAAGUCUGGAAGCUCUGCCAGGACCCAGCAAGGCAGCCUGCUCAGCGAAGGCUUUGUCUCCUGUGGCAGGAAGAGCAACAUUAAGAACAAGAACCCCGGGCUGGACUACCCUUGAGAUUUAAUGACCAGAGCUGAGACCCCCAAGACCACAAUGACUAUGGAGGGCUGUCAUUACCUUGCCUGACCCUCUAAUGCAUCUCAGUUCAUGGAGGCCACUGAGUGAAACCGAAGGCUGGUUUUCCUUGGAAGCCAGCGGCCCAUCCACCUGCUCCACUUCCCUGCCUCUUGCAGCCUCUGCUCAAACACUGUCGUGGCUUGGCAGCACUACAAGGUUUUGAGAUGCUCCUCGUGAAUGAAAAUAGAACUGUCUGGUUCCUCCGUCCAUAGCAAGGGAGCCUGGACAGAAAUAACUUCUGUGCGUUUCUCCAGCUACAUUUAGGGAAAACUAGAAAAUACAGAAAUAUAUCAAGAAGAAAAAAAAUUUUUUAAUGACCCAAAAUCCCACCAACAAGAGACAGCUAUUAAUGAUUGUGGUAUAUUUAUUGCUGAUCCCAGAACCUCAAAAUUCCUCCAACGUUAUCAUGCAGAGCAAUUUACCUCUGUCUUGGACUACAUCUAAACGCCAUCAAAAUGGUCUAAGUAUUUGCUAAGAUGAAGGCAGUUCUCUCCCCUAAGAGGAAUUCUGCCACAGCUCACCUAAGCCUCACAGCUGGGCACAGGAAAACACGGAAUAAGGACCCAGUGAACUAAAGGGGCUGAAGCCAUGACUAGGAAUCAUGUGCAUGAAGAAGCCCAGAAGAGCCAAUACUCCCCGGAAGGGCACCCGGAGACCACUAAGGAAGGAGGGAGGAUACCUUCUGUUCCCGUGUUCAGGCUCCAAUGUAUCCAGGUCACAGGAGGCUGCCUCUCCAGGCAGAGAAACUGAUCCGUCCCUAUCAGUGCCAGGCGGAGGGCAGGGGAUUUCGCACCUGAGCAAGGGUUGGGAUGACUCCCAAGCUUCCAUUCUCCCUGGAGUUCCUCCCGAGGGUCUCUGUGACACAGAGGAGGAAGCAGGAGCUUUCUUUGCAUAAUCAUGGUCAAAUAUUUAUAUUUGUUUGGGAUUUGCUUCUAUGGGAUGUUUUCGUCAUUCAAAUCUAUUUCCAAAAUAAAUCCGGAUCUCUUUUAUAAGAAAAUGCAAUGAAAACACCAGAAUGAUAGAGUAAGAAAAUAGAACUGAAAUUACUGAAAAGGAGCUGAGGAAUUAGAUGUUGCCAGGCAUCUGAGAUGAGAUGAUUAAAACAGCCAGGUGGCUCUGAGCUAAGGCAAAAGGCAGAAUCUGGGGCAACACAGUUUAUAUCAUCUGACAACAUAAAGCAUGCACAUCCUUUGUGUCAAGCCGCACUGCUUCCUGGAACAAACUCAAGGCAGAAUUUAUUACCUGGGUUCCUGUUUAAGUGCAUGUCGAAUGACCAGUUGAUGAAAGCCUUCAAAUAAAGUUUUGCAAAAGAACAAAGAAUGAGACGUGGAGUACUGACCCUCUCUGAAAGGAUACCAGAAUUAAGACUACAGAAGCCUACCCAACAUUUGCUCACUACCUUUUAAAUUGGACUUAAUGCCAUAUUUUAAAAAAUAACCACUUUUAAAAUAAUUUUUGCUUAUAUCAAAAGUAAUACAUGUGAAUUGCAGGAAAUUUGUAAAAUACAGCUUCAAAGAGAGAGGGGGAGAGAGAGAGAGAGAAAUCUAUCAU